AAUGAAUGCUCUUUUCCAGUAGCUACUUUACCAAAAUCUGUAUCGUUCCUUUCAUUUUUGGGUAUUUUCCACUUCUCCUUUACAUCUACUUUCCACAUUCCUUUUUCAUUUGUCAACCUUGUAUGUUAACUUUUUCUCCAUAUUUUUCUAUUACUAUGCUUAUAUUAGAUAUCGCUAGGCCUUCAGAGAUUUCUCAAGUUCUCCAAAGGCCAAGAAGAUGCCCAGUUCUCCUAGUGAGUGGUUCAGCAGUGGCCAAGAAUUGGCAAAUGUGGUUGUGAACAAUGGAGACGGUUAAAGAUGAAUAGGAAAAGAGAACCCCGGCUACUGAAAAGACUAAAGAGCACUUUGACGUAUUUUAUUUUCGAUUUAUCAGAAGGAGAUAUUGACAAAAUAAGAAUUAAAUAAAAGAGCAUGAUCUUAGGGAGGACAAAUCAGUCCAGAUAUUUUUUUUAUUAGUAAUAAAUAAAAUAAAAUAAUUGCUAUAAAAAAAUUAAAAUAAAAAAGAUAACCGUAAUAUUAUAAACGUGAAG